UGCAAAAUAAAAAUGAGAAAUAAAAUCCCCAGAACAUCCCUCACCAAACUCUGUAUUAUCCAAUGUUUAUUAUAUCCUGAACACGCGGUACUAGCUUUGCACGGUGCACGUGUCCGACCAGCGCCACUCGGACCUCAGCCAAGAUUCUGCACACAUUUCAAUAUCGUUUACCAUCAUCUUUGGCGUCCGCCCUUGGAUUUGAUCAACCGUGUCGAGAAAGAGGAGGAGGAGGAGGAGGAGGAGACGAAGAGGAUGACGAGGGGAAAGCAGAAGAUAGAGGCACAGAGGAAGAACGCAGAGAAGAAUCAGAAGCAAAAGGGAUCUCAAUUCGAGGCCAGGGCCGUCGCCCUCAAGGUCACGUGCCCAAUCUGCAAGGUACAGCUAGCAAAUCAAAACCAGCUUGGCGAUCACUACAGUUCGAAACACCCCAAAGAGAAACCUCCAAGUGAGUCUGGAUGACAUCUCUGCAAGCAUUUGGAAGGGGCUUGGGAUGUAUUAACUUCUAAGUGUAUCGAUCUUAUUUGUUCAACUCCUACCUCUAUCGUCUUUUGGAUCAUGUAUGAAACGUUAUGAGGUUUUGCGAUGCUUAUUAUAUGAAUAACAUGCACCGGAUGUAAUCGAUGUUGCGUCUUUCGAUUGUAUCUGUACUUUGAUGUGUAUAUGGAAUUUUGAAGGUUUUUUUGA